rnacentral:rRNA from 1 species
GACGAACGCUGGCGGCGUGCUUAACACAUGCAAGUCGAACGGAAAGGCCUGCUUUCCCUUGUGGAUUGUGGGUACUCGAGUGGCGAACGGGUGAGUAACACGUGAGUGAUCUGCCCCCAACUUGGGUAUAAGCCUGGGAAACUGGGUCUAAUUCCCGAUAGGACUGCAGGGUGGUGCCUGUGGUGGAAAACGAUUUUCUAGUGGUUGGGGAUGAGCUCGCGGCCUAUCAGCUUGUUGGUGGGGUAAUGGCCUACCAAGGCGGCGACGGGUAGCCGGCCUGAGAGGGUGGACGGCCACAUUGGGACUGAGAUACGGCCCAGACGCCUACGGGAGGCAGCAGUGGGGAAGAUUGCACAAUGGGCGGAAGCCUGAUGCAGCGACGCCGCGUGGGGGAUGACGGCCUUCGGGUGGUAAACUCCUUUCGACCGCGAGGAAGCCGCCUGGUUGGAAGGGUGGUGACGGUAGUGGUAGAAGAAGCACCGGCUAACUACGUG